UACGUAGGGUGCGAGCGUUAAUCGGAAUUACUGGGCGUAAAGUGUGCGCAGGCGGCCAUGCAAGUCGCGUGUGAAAGCCCCGGGCUUAACUUGGGAAUUGCGCUCGAAACUACGUGGCUGGAGUGUGGCAGAGGAAGGUGGAAUUCCAGGUGUAGCGGUGAAAUGCGUAGAGAUCUGGAGGAACACCGAUGGCGAAGGCAGCCUUCUGGGCCAACACUGACGCUCAUGCACGAAAGCGUGGGGAGCAAACAGG
rnacentral:rRNA from 1 species